GAAGCAAGAGGACAAUGAGCCAUAAGCAGCUUUCUUCUUGUCUGGCAAGUAGGUGGGAGCUUGAGGCUGUCACAGUGUAGCAAACUGCUAGGGUUUGUGGCAUGAUGGGACUAGGAGCUCAAGAGCACUCCCUUCCACAGGAUCUCAUGAUACCACUCCAGCUCUGGCUCGGUGAGACAGCAGCUGCUGGGGACGGCAGGAGUGCCUCAGGAGCUCAUGGAUGGACCCUUUGCUGACGACACCACCCUCUUUCUGGUUGCUAAGAACCUGGAUGGAAAUUGGAAAUAUUGGAACAAGUCCGUUGGGAUCAAUUGGGGAAAGCUAGGGAUUGAAUCAUGGGGCUGAAGUGAGUUUCUACCUGAAUCCCCAGGUAUUGGUGCUCUCGCACUGCAGGAUGAAAUGCUGCUCAAGAGGUUAGAAUGGCAAUCCAGAAAUGGUCAUCUAGGAAGCUUGGACUUCCAACAGCUAAGUGCAUCAUUCUCCCCAGUAUAUGGUACCACAUUUCUAUCUGGCCACCACACUUAGAAAAGUAAAAAGCAUGGUGCACACUUAUGUUGUAGGGUGGACAAAGGUACUGUGGCAUUCUUGCAGCAUGUCCAUAAGUGUUGGGAGGGUACCCAUCAUUGACUUAAAGUUAAAAGCUAUCAGCUCAA